CUUCACGAGAUGUCGUCGCCAAGCUCCGACUAGACGGCACGCCAACCCCACGCUCGUGGGUGGCUCGGAUGACGAAGCGGCCGACGCCAACCGGCACCGGCAAGAGCGCCUC
rnacentral:ncRNA from 1 species